AUUGCAUUAGAGCAGAUCACUCAAGGCAUGCGCAGACAAUAAUUCACAUUUCUACCACAUUGGAGAGUACAAAAUCACAUGUUGAAUAUUGACUAGAAGACACUGACAAUAAGAAUGGUUUUAUACAAUAUGGCAUUAGAGCAGAUCACUCAAGGCAUGCGCAGACAAUAAUUCACAUUUCUACCACAUUGGAGAGUACAAAAUCACAUGUUGAAUAUUGACCGGAAGACACUGACAAUCAGAAUGGUUUUAUGCAAUAUUGCAUUAGAGCAGAUCACUCAAGGCAUGCGCAGACAAUAAUUCACAUUUCUACCACAUUGGAGAGUACAAAAUCACAUGUUGAAUAUUGACUAGAAGACACUGACAAUAAGAAUGGUUUUAUACAAUUAGUGACAGUUUAUCCACCAACAAUUUUACAUAUUGAACUGACUACAACCUUUAAGAAGGCAGUUUAUCAGAUCACUCAAGGCAUGCGCAGACAAUAAUUCACAUUUCUACCACAUUGGAGAGUACAAAAUCACAUGUUGAAUAUUGACUAGAAGA